rnacentral:rRNA from 1 species
GACGAACGCUGGCGGCGUGCCUAAUACAUGCAAGUAGAACGCUGAAGAGAGGAGCUUGCUCUUCUUGGAUGAGUUGCGAACGGGUGAGUAACGCGUAGGUAACCUGCCUGGUAGCGGGGGAUAACUAUUGGAAACGAUAGCUAAUACCGCAUAAAAUUGAUUAUUGCAUGAUAAUUAAUUGAAAGAUGCAAUUGCAUCACUACCAGAUGGACCUGCGUUGUAUUAGCUAGUUGGUGAGGUAACGGCUCACCAAGGCGACGAUACAUAGCCGACCUGAGAGGGUGAUCGGCCACACUGGGACUGAGACACGGCCCAGACUCCUACGGGAGGCAGCAGUAGGGAAUCUUCGGCAAUGGGGGGAACCCUGACCGAGCAACGCCGCGUGAGUGAAGAAGGUUUUCGGAUCGUAAAGCUCUGUUGUAAGAGAAGAACGGGUGUGAGAGUGGAAAGUUCACACUGUGACGGUAUCUUACCAGAAAGGGACGGCUAACUACGUGUCAGCAGCCGCGGUAAUACGUAGGUCCCGAGCGUUGUCCGGAUUUAUUGGGCGUAAAGCGAGCGCAGGCGGUUAGGUAAGUCUGAAGUUAAAGGCUGUGGGCUUACCAUAGUAUGCUUUGGAAACUGUUUAACUUGAGUGCAGAAGGGGAGAGUGGAAUUCCAUGUGUAGCGGUGAAAUGCGUAGAUAUAUGGAGGAACACCGGUGGCGAAAGCGGCUCUCUGGUCUGUAACUGACGCUGAGGCUCGAAAGCGUGGGGAGCAAACAGGAUUAGAUACCCUGGUAGUCCACGCCGUAAACGAUGAGUGCUAGGUGUUAGGCCCUUUCCGGGGCUUAGUGCCGCAGCUAACGCAUUAAGCACUCCGCCUGGGGAGUACGACCGCAAGGUUGAAACUCAAAGGAAUUGACGGGGGCCCGCACAAGCGGUGGAGCAUGUGGUUUAAUUCGAGGCAACGCGAAGAACCUUACCAGGUCUUGACAUCCCUCUGACCGCUCUAGAGAUGGAGUUUUCCUUCGGGACAGAGGUGACAGGUGGUGCAUGGUUGUCGUCAGCUCGUGUCGUGAGAUGUUGGGUUAAGUCCCGCAACGAGCGCAACCCCUAUUGUUAGUUGCCAUCAUUGAGUUGGGCACUCUAGCGAGACUGCCGGUAAUAAACCGGAGGAAGGUGGGGAUGACGUCAAAUCAUCAUGCCCCUUAUGACCUGGGCUACACACGUGCUACAAUGGCUGGUACAACGAGUCGCAAGCCGGUGACGGCAAGCUAAUCUCUGAAAGCCAGUCUCAGUUCGGAUUGUAGGCUGCAACUCGCCUACAUGAAGUCGGAAUCGCUAGUAAUCGCGGAUCAGCACGCCGCGGUGAAUACGUUCCCGGGCCU